GUUUCUGUGGUGUAGUGGUCAUCACGUUCGCCUAACACGCGAAAGGUCCUCGGUUCGAACCCGAACAGAAACA
rfam:Danio rerio chromosome 4, GRCz11 reference primary assembly.